UGACGUACAGUAGCGCAGCAUCGUCGCCGGACGGUUUCCACUUCAUCAGCACCAUUAGCAAACACGAAUGAAACGCCAACCCAAUCACUGGAAAACCCAGUGGAUCAGACUCACGGUAAACCCAGCUACCAGUUGAAGCAGACCCAAGCUCAGCAGAACUGUCGGCACAUUGGACACACCCACUGAACAUACGACGUAAAACUUGGUUUCAGAUUGAACUAACAUAAUAAAUACAAAUACUACUAUGGCCAAUAAAAUUGUGCACUCAAGUUUAGAAUGCUAUUUUUAUCCAAACUAAAGAAUGAGUACCUAACCUAACCUACCUUGGAGAAAUCGGAAUAGAUAAAUCCUUGUUCAAGUCCGAUGAACAACGACAGUGGAGCGAUGAGCUGAAGUUUGGUGUUGCGGAAUGCAU